AUUGAACGCUGGCGGCAGGCUUAACACAUGCAAGUCGAACGAGCGGCGGACGGGUGAGUAAUGUCUGGGAACCUGCCUGCUUGAGGGGGAUAACUACUGGAAACGGUCGCUAAUACCGCAUACCAUCGGAUGUGCCCAGAUGGGAUUAGCUAGUAGGUGGGGUAAUGGCUCACCUAGGCGACGAUCCCUAGCUGGUCUGAGAGGAUGACCAGCCACACUGGAACUGAGAGACGGUCCAGACUCCUACGGGAGGCAGGAGGGGGGAAUAUUGGAAAAUGGGAGAAAGCCUGAUGCAGCGAUGCCGCGUGGGUGAGGAAGGCCUUCGGGUUGUAAAGCACUUUCAGCGGGGAGGCGGUAGGCGCAGAAGAAGCACCGGCUAACUACGUGCCAGCAGCCGCGGUAAUAC
rnacentral:rRNA from 1 species